rnacentral:rRNA from 1 species
GUCGAACGAUGAUGCCCAGCUUGCUGGGUGGAUUAGUGGCGAACGGGUGAGUAACACGUGAGUAACCUGCCCCUGACUCUGGGAUAAGCGUUGGAAACGACGUCUAAUACUGGAUAUGAUCACUGGCCGCAUGGUCUGGUGGUGGAAAGAUUUUUUGGUUGGGGAUGGACUCGCGGCCUAUCAGCUUGUUGGUGAGGUAAUGGCUCACCAAGGCGACGACGGGUAGCCGGCCUGAGAGGGUGACCGGCCACACUGGGACUGAGACACGGCCCAGACUCCUACGGGAGGCAGCAGUGGGGAAUAUUGCACAAUGGGCGAAAGCCUGAUGCAGCAACGCCGCGUGAGGGAUGACGGCCUUCGGGUUGUAAACCUCUUUUAGUAGGGAAGAAGCGAAAGUGACGGUACCUGCAGAAAAAGCACCGGCUAACUACGUGCCAGCAGCCGCGGUAAUACGUAGGGUGCAAGCGUUGUCCGGAAUUAUUGGGCGUAAAGAGCUCGUAGGCGGUUUGUCGCGUCUGCUGUGAAAUCCCGAGGCUCAACCUCGGGCUUGCAGUGGGUACGGGCAGACUAGAGUGCGGUAGGGGAGAUUGGAAUUCCUGGUGUAGCGGUGGAAUGCGCAGAUAUCAGGAGGAACACCGAUGGCGAAGGCAGAUCUCUGGRCCGUAACUGACGCUGAGGAGCGAAAGCAUGGGGAGCGAACAGGAUUAGAUACC